GGCUGGAUAGUCUAGUGGUUAAGAUCCCCCCGGAGCUGGGAAGGUCUAGGUUCAAUUUCUAGUCCUGCCA